UACAGAGGUCCCAAUCGUUGUUCGGAUUCACUGGGCGUAAAGGGUGCGUAGGUGGUAGGGUAAGUUUGAUGUGAAAGCUCCGAGCUCAACUCGGAAAUGGCAUUGAAUACUAUCCUGCUUGAGGGUUGGAGGGGGGACUGGAAUUCUCGGUGUAGCAGUGAAAUGCGUAGAUAUCGAGAGGAACACCGGUGGCGAAGGCGAGUCCCUGGACAACACCUGACACUGAGGCACGAAAGCUAGGGGAGCAAACAGG
rnacentral:rRNA from 1 species